rfam:Otolemur garnettii contig013980, whole genome shotgun sequence.
GUGAUUGCUUUGGCAUCACAUAUACUAAAAUUGAAACGAUACAAAGAAGAUUAGUAUGGCCGCUGCAUAAGGAUGACACUCAAAGAACUGUUCCAUAUUUUU